rnacentral:rRNA from 1 species
UACGUAGGAGACGAGCGUUGUCCGGAGUUACUGGGCGUAAAGCGCACGUAGGCGGCUUUCUAAGUCAGGGGUGAAAUCCUGGAGCUCAACUCCAGAACUGCCUUUGAUACUGGAAAGCUUGAGUUCGGGAGAGGUGAGUGGAACUGCGAGUGUAGAGGUGAAAUUCGUAGAUAUUCGCAAGAACACCAGUGGCGAAGGCGGCUCACUGGCCCGAUACUGACGCUGAGGCACGAAAGCGUGGGGAGCAAACAGG